UACGAAGGGUGCAAACGUUGCUCGGCAUUAUUGGGCGUAAAGCGCACGUCGGCGGCUUUGCAAGUUCGAUGUGAAAUCCCUCGGCUCAACCAAGGAAGUGCAUCGAAAACUGCAGAGCUUGAGUAGUUAAGAGGAUCGCGGAAUUCCCGGUGUAGAGGUGAAAUUCGUAGAUAUCGGGAGGAACACCAGUGGCGAAGGCGGCGAUCUGGGAACAUACUGACGCUGAGGUGCGAAAGCGUGGGGAGCAAACAGG
rnacentral:rRNA from 1 species